GUUUGGAGAAAGGGUCUUUGCAGAUGUGAUUAAGUGAAGGAUCUUGAGAUGAGACCAUCCUGAAUGAUCUGGGUUAGCCCUGAAUCCAAUGGCAGGUGUCCUUAUAAGAGACACACAAGAGAGAGGAGAAGACGGUCACGUGAAGAUGAAGACAGAGAUUGGAGUGAUGCACCCACAAGCCCGGGAAUGCUGGCAGCGCCAGAAGCUGGAAGAGGCAUCAACCAGAAUCUCUCCUGGAGCCUCUGGAGGGAACGCAGCUCUGACAACAGCUUGAUUUUGGACUUCUGGCCUCCAGAGCUGAAAGAUUUCCUCCCAGAUAAAAACAGGCACACCAAGAGAUGCUCACUCAUACUUUGUGCUUUUGGACACUGUGAUGUAAAUACACAGUGCAUCGAGUGCUGGCAGCCAUCUUGUGACCAUGAGGCAAAACCCCAGAAAAUCUCAGUGAGCAGACAUACAGCCCUGAUGUCAACAAGCUGCUGAAUUCACCAACUCUGCAAAUACCAACCUCCAAAUCUUUUGAUGUGUGAGAUAAUAAACCCCUAUUGUCUAAGCUACUCUUGCAGCUGAAAUCCUCCUUAAAUGUUAUUCAAGGACUUUACAUAUUGUGUAAUUGUUCUUGCUAGCAAUGCACUAUUUUUAGGCUUAACAGGCAAC
rnacentral:lncRNA from 1 species